ACCAUCAUCGUCUAGUGGUUUAGGAUACUGGAUUUUCAUACAUAUGGAAAUUUCCAGGGGCCGGAGUUCGAACCUCCGUGAUGGUG